GACGAACGCUGGCGGCGUGCUUAACACAUGCAAGUCGAACGAAGUGGCGAACGGGUGAGUAACGCGUAAUCAACCUGCCCUUCAGAGGGGGACCACAGUUGGAAACGCCUGCUAAUACCGCCUACUGACGUCGGGGAUUGCGUGUGAUUGGCUCGUUGGAGGGGUAACGGCCCACCAAGGCGAUGAUCAGUAGCCGGUCUGAGAGGAUGAACGGACAACUUGGGACUGCGACACGGCGCAGACUCCUACGGGAGGCAGCAGUGGGGAAUCUUACGCAAUGGACGAAAGUCGGACGGAGCAACGCCGCGUGAGUGAUGACGGCCUUCGGGUGGUAAAGCUCUGUUAAUCGGGACGCGGUACCGGAAUAGAAAGCCACGGCUAACUACGUGCCAGCAGCCGCGGUAAUAC
rnacentral:rRNA from 1 species